AUGAGCAGACACGGAUUCAUUAAGCCAGGUGAAACCAAUCCUGGAUAGGUGCGCGCUCACGGCUCACUCAAAUAGACCCCGCCACAGAUCACAGAUUAACUGAUUUACCAUGGCAACUAGAGCCGCGUACUUUUCCCCGUCGGAAGCACAAAUCCUCAUGGAGGCAUACGAGGAGGUAAAAGAUAUAAUUAAGAAGAAAGGCAACACCGCCACAGUGAUAAAGCAAAGAGAAAAAGCGUGGCAAAGUAUUGCAGACCGCCUGAAUGCGUAAGUAGUGCACAAUUACACACUCACCGCUCCGCUGAAACAUCACAAUUACAAUUCAAAUAUUUAAUUCACAUCUCCAAAAACGCAGUUGUACUGUAAUUAUGAAACGGUUAAAUUUUUAAUUGAAAUGCACUGGAGAUAUGAGUGAAAUUGUGUAAAGUAAGUCCAUCACACUGUAUAAAGCUAUGAUAAAUUAUUAUUAAAGCCUUACAUUAUUAUUUAACGUUACUACGCUCAGUACGGUUUAAUCUUAGCCGUUGUACUCUGCUUCUUAUGUUGUCCACCGUUUUUUUUUGUGUUUCUCCUGCUUUCAUUAAUGUAAAGCUGCUUUGACAGAAUGAAACAAUUGUGAAAAGUGCUAUAUAAAUAAAAUGUAAUUGAAUAAAUAGAUGAGCUAUAAUAAUAAUCACUUUAAUUUAUAUAGCGCCUUUCAAAGGACCCAAGGUCGGUUGCUCACUGCACUGCAAAAAUGUCUUUCUUACUUAGUAUUUUUGUCUUGUUUUCAGUAAAAAAAAAUAUCUAAAAAACAUCUUGAAUAUUUUCUUGAGCAAAAUUACCUAGGAAAAUAAGCAAAAAAAUCUGCCAGUGAUGUGCAUUGAUUGGUGUAAUAUUCCUCAUCUUAUGAUUUCAGAUGGUCUGCAAUGCUGACUGUGUGAUCAGCAAUGUUGUGGCAAAAUGGCCUGGCUCAGUCCAUGACUCCAGAAUCUUUCGGGCCUCUGAAAUCUAUCAGUGCCUAUCACAAGGUGAAUUCUCUGGUGUGUUGCUGGGAGACAGGGGUAUGGCUGCCAGCCUUUUCUCCUGACACCUUUCACAGACCCCCAGGAAGCACAGCAGGCCUACAACCAUGCCCAUGCCAGGACCAGGGCCAGAGUUGAAAUGAUCUUUGGCCUCCUGAAGGCACGCUUUCACUGCCUUCACAAAUUAAGGGUCAGCCCUGUUAGGGCAUGUGAUAUUACUGUGGCUUGUGCUGUCCUCCACAAUGUGGCCUGCCUGAGGAAGGAGAGGGCCCCCAGAGUGCCACCAGCCAUGGACUGGGACAAUCCGGCAAUCUUCCCUGAUGACGACAGUGGUCGGCUGCUGAGGGACCAAUAUGUGUUGAAUUAUUUUAGUUAGUAUGUGUGCUUUCAAUUUUGGUUAAAUAUGUCCUGCGGUGGCAGAGGAAUUUGGUUUUUUUUGGGUUCGUUUUUUUACGAAUUUGGCCUCUUAUGAUGUUUGUGCGGUAUACUGUGUGUAAUACAAGGCUGCAGGGAGGCUACUGCAUCCAUUCAUUUGUCUGUUCAGUUGAUGUGUAUGGAUUUGUCCUGCAUUUAUUUUAGUGUGCAGACAUGCAGGGUGUGUUAUAUACAGACCUUUGAAUGUGUAUGUAUCAUUUUGUAUAAUAUGCUUGGAUUCUGUGCUUUCCAUCUUGUAGAGUCACUGUGACUUCAGUUUCGAAAGGAGCUGAUGGUUUACCUGCUUUGUUUUGUCCUUAUUCAAUAAAGGAACAUAAUGUUA